rnacentral:rRNA from 1 species
AAUGAACGCUGGCGGCAUGCCUUACACAUGCCAGUCGAACGGCAGCAUGGCCUAGCUUGCUAGGUUGAUGGCGAGCGGCGAACGGGUGAGUAAUGCAUCGGAACGUGCCUGUUAGUGGGGGAUAACUUAUCGAAACUUACGCUAAUACCGCAUAUUCUCUGAGGAGGAAAGCAGGGGACCUUCGGGCCUUUCGCUAUAAGAGCGGCCGAUGUCGGAUUAGCUAGUUGGUGAGGUAAAGGCUCACCAAGGCAACGAUCCGUAGCGGGUCUGAGAGGAUGAUCAGCCACACUGGGACUGAGACACGGCCCAGACUCCUACGGGAGGCAGCAGUGGGGAAUUUUGGACAAUGGGCGCAAGCCUGAUCCAGCCAUGCCGCGUGAGUGAAGAAGGCCUUCGGGUUGUAAAGCUCUUUCGGCUGGGAAGAAAUCGCACACUCUAAUACAUGGAGUGAAUGACGGUACCAGCAGAAGAAGCACCGGCUAACUCCGUG